AUUAUAAUGCAUCCUCUCUAUUUAUCAAUCGCGCAACAGACAAAACCACCACUCUAGAUCUAGCUUCUUCCUCUUUUUAUCUCUAUCUUCCUAAUUUGCAGAAAACGCCAUGGAGCCUCGAGGAGGAAGAUCUUUACCUCCAUUAGCGACGAUCUGUGCAAUUCUCGCGCUUCUGUUCCAUGGCGCUCACUGCUUCUAUCUUCCUGGCGUCGCUCCUGAGGAUUUCGUCAAGGGAGAUGAGUUGAAAGUGAAAGUGAACAAAUUGACCUCUACAAAAACACAGCUUCCUUACUCGUACUAUUCUCUUCCUUAUUGUCGCCCAUCCAAGAUUUUGGACAGUGCAGAGAAUCUAGGGGAAGUGCUUCGUGGUGACCGUAUUGAAAAUUCCCCCUUUGUGUUCAAAAUGCGGG
rnacentral:misc_RNA from 1 species